rnacentral:rRNA from 1 species
CUCGUUUUCGGCGAUAUACAGUCGGAGACUAAGCGAAAGUGAUAAGUAUUGCACCUGGGGAGUACGAUCGCAAGGUUGAAACUCAAAGGAAUUGACGGGGGCCCGCACAAGCGGUGGAGCAUGUGGUUUAAUUCGACGCAACGCGAAGAACCUUACCUGGUCUUGACAUCCUGCGAACUUUCUAGAGAUAGAUUGGUGCCUUCGGGAACGCAGUGACAGGUGCUGCAUGGCUGUCGUCAGCUCGUGUCGUGAGAUGUUGGGUUAAGUCCCGUAACGAGCGCAACCCUUGUCCUUAUUUGCCAUCAUUAAGUUGGGCACUCUAGGGAGACUGCCGGUGACAAACCGGAGGAAGGUGGGGA